rnacentral:sRNA from 1 species
AAGCGAGAAAGCGUUGCCGCAGGCAACGAUCCGAAGGGCGAAGCGCGCAGCGCUGAGUCAUCCUUCCCCCACCACCA